rnacentral:lncRNA from 1 species
CCAGGGCUGGCCGGGAUGCGUGAACCUCAGAGACUCCCGUUUGCUCCCUCUUGGAACACUCACUUGUGCCUGCUCUGGUUUGGACCUGGUGGGAGAAGCUGGUGUAGACAGGUCACACGGAGGGACAGUGAGGGCCCGCCGGCUGCCUGGGUCCACGCUAGGGCAAAGUCAUCUCCACAGGAGGAAGCCGGCAGCUCUGAGAGGUGGGGACCCGGUGCUGCGACCCUCUCUCUCCUUGCUCGUCACUCUAUCUCGAGACAGGAGUCUAACAGGCAGGGGUCUGCAAUAAUGACCACAGGUGUUUACAGAAUGGUGCUGGUGGCGCUGGAGGGAGAAAACACAGGCUGGGAUCACAGGUGCAGAGG